UACGUAGGGGGCAAGCGUUAUCCGGAAUUACUGGGUGUAAAGGGAGCGUAGACGGUAAUGUAAGUCUGGAGUGAAAGGCGGGGGCCCAACCCCCGGACUGCUCUGGAAACUAUGUUACUAGAGUGCAGGAGAGGUAAGCGGAAUUCCUAGUAUAGCGGUGAAAUGCGUAGAUAUUAGGAGGAACACCAGUGGCGAAGGCGGCUUACUGGACUGUAACUGACGUUGAGGCUCGAAAGCGUGGGGAGCAAACAGG
rnacentral:rRNA from 1 species